CCGUAGACUGUGAGAACUUUAUAGUGCGAACGGGUCCCUAAUCGCUUAUUUUAAGUCGAGAUCUCUCGUGGAGAGGCCCUAAUCGCUCUCUUUCUUUCUCUCUCAUGCGCGUGUCUAGGGUUCGUCUCUCUGGGGUUUCCAAUGGCGGUGAUCCUCUACGAUGCCUUCGGAGAGAAACUCAGUAGCUUCGAUCACCGAUCUUACCGCAUUUCGGGGCUUCGGAGAAACCAACGAACGCGCUGACACCACCACGCUAAGGAUCCAAUCGGCACCAAGAACCUCACUGGUGCACUGCUAAAAGGUUUUCAGUGAAGAUGCCACUACACACAUUGUUGCCAUCUGCAGAAGUUUUCUAUCCAUCAGUGUUCUGCGUCCCAAUCAAAAGACUGAAGACCUGCAUUCAUGUGUCAUCCAUCAUGUGCUGUGUUGCUCAGGUGUGCGUGUGUGCGCUCGCAUUCACAUGUGGAGUGCGUAGGUAAAUUGAACAUCUUUGUGUGUUUGUCUAGGUUUUGAAGUUAGAAUGGGCAGGACAAGAGGAAAUCAUUGCUUUGGAAGAUAGAAAUGGCGUGCGGUUGAAGGCGAUAGUAUAGGUAGAGGUAGCCAAGGACAAGAUAGGUUCAGAUGAAGCAAUAUAGCAGAUCAGAUGGGUUAUUGUAGGAGGUGAAAUAUCAGAAGCAGGUGGAUUUUGUUGAAUUGUAUCAUCUGGUAUGGAUAGUGCUGUAAUAGCUGAUAGUGCCAACUUUGAAGACCUAGACCCCCAUACACAAAGGUAAUAAGUUUACCCCAUUGCCUUUGUAGAAGUUCAGUGGUGAGAGAAGCACUUAAUUCUCCAGAAUUGAUUCCAAGUUCACAUUGGAAGCACUUACGUGUGACAAUACAGUUACUAGCUUGACAGUAGAUGUUGUGACCAGGCUGUCCAGUAAAAACAAACCCGUUAGUAGGCAUGCUGUGGCUAGCAUUGGUUCCGGCAGAAUAACCAAGUUUACGUACACAGAUGCUGAUGUUAUCAAGUUCACUUGGUUGUUUAGGUCCAGAGUUUCAUCUCUCCUUAGUGCAACCUGAUUGCCACUGGCAAGGUGUUGAAAUGGAAGGAGCGGGAAGGAUAGAUGAGCAGGCAAUAGAAGGUGGUAUUAAUGGAACUGCAGCAACCAACAGCUGUUCGCAGCUACCUGAGUGGUGAAAAAAAUGAAGCUGCUGGAAUAAUGGAAUUUAAUGAUCUGAACCAUUGGAAGGUGGAAUCUAAGAUUGGUUGGCAACUGGUAUGGACAGGCAAGUAUCUGAACUCCAGAGGUAUAUUUGGCAGCAGGUGUACAUGUACUGUAAGAUAUGAUCAUUUAGUUUUAUGUUUUUUGUGUUCCUGAUGUUGUAUGAGUGUCAUCUCAAUUUGGUUGUCAUUGAUAUGCAGCUAUCCAUAAUUAUCAAACAUCUAGUGGAAACUUUAAUCUUGAUGUGUUACCAAAUUUUUGUUGCUCUUUUUUCAA